GAUGAACGCUGGCGGCGUGCCUAAUACAUGCAAGUCGAGCGAACAGAUGAGGAGCUUGCUCCUCUGACGUUAGCGGCGGACGGGUGAGUAACACGUGGAUAACCUACCUAUAAGACUGGGAUAACUUCGGGAAACCGGAGCUAAUACCGGAUAAUAUAUUGAACCGCAUGGUUCAAUAGUGAAAGACGGUUUUGCUGUCACUUAUAGAUGGACCCGCGCCGCAUUAGCUAGUUGGUAAGGUAACGGCUUACCAAGGCAACGAUGCGUAGCCGACCUGAGAGGGUGAUCGGCCACACUGGAACUGAGACACGGUCCAGACUCCUACGGGAGGCAGCAGUAGGGAAUCUUCCGCAAUGGGCGAAAGCUUGACGGAGCAACGCCGCGUGAGUGAUGAAGGUCUUCGGAUCGUAAAACUCUGUUAUUAGGGAAGAACAAAUGUGUAAGUAACUAUGCACGUCUUGACGGUACCUAAUCAGAAAGCCACGGCUAACUACGUG
rnacentral:rRNA from 1 species